UAGGGAAUCUUCGGCAAUGGGGGGAACCCUGACCGAGCAACGCCGCGUGAGUGAAGAAGGUUUUCGGAUCGUAAAGCUCUGUUGUUAAGGAAGAACGAGUGUGAGAAUGGAAAGUUCAUACUGUGACGGUACUUAACCAGAAAGGGACGGCUAACUACGUGCCAGCAGCCGCGGUAAUACGUAGGUCCCGAGCGUUGUCCGGAUUUAUUGGGCGUAAAGCGAGCGCAGGCGGUCAAUUAAGUCUGAUGUGAAAGCCCCCGGCUCAACCGGGGAGGGUCAUUGGAAACUGGUUGACUUGAGUGCAGAAGGGGAGAGUGGAAUUCCAUGUGUAGCGGUGAAAUGCGUAGAUAUAUGGAGGAACACCAGUGGCGAAGGCGACUCUCUGGUCUGUAACUGACGCUGAGGCUCGAAAGCGUGGGUAGCAAACAGG
rnacentral:rRNA from 1 species